rnacentral:tRNA from 1 species
UGGAUAUUAGUUAAUAAAUAAUAAUUAAAUUGCAUUUAAUAGUAAUUAAUUAAUUUAAUAUA